rnacentral:rRNA from 1 species
GAUAAACGCUGGCGGCGCACAUAAGACAUGCAAGUCGAACGGACUUAACCAUUAGUUUACUAUUGGAGCGGUUAGUGGCGGACUGGUGAGUAACACGUAAGUAACCUGCCCUGGAGUGGGGGACAACAGUUGGAAACGACUGCUAAUACCGCAUAAGCCCACGGUGCCGCAUGGCACAGGUGGGAAAAGGAUUUAUUCGCUUCAGGAUGGACUCGCGUCCAAUUAGCUAGUUGGUGAGGUAACGGCCCACCAAGGCGACGAUUGGUAGCCGGACUGAGAGGUUGAACGGCCACAUUGGGACUGAGACACGGCCCAG